GGACUGAAGCGGGAAUAAAUUGAAACCGAAGGACGAGCGCACGUGCCGAACACGUGAGCGGAUCUCGAAAGACAAAACUCUUGCUCCGAGCAGAGAGCUGAGCUCUGAGAGUCUGAGCUAAAAAAGGAAAAUUGCGCAAUUUCAAUUUUCAAGUCCUCAAAUCAUCGCAAAUUGAGAACAGGAACUGUCAGAGAUGAUGAGAGUUUUCGGCGUUAAAAAAGACAAACAAGCUUCAAUUCAAGACACUUCCGAUCGGAUCAAUAAAAGAGGUGAGACGGUGGAUGAGAAAAUAAAGAAGCUAGAUACUGAACUUGCAAGGUGCAGAGAACAGAUAAAGAAGACCCGUCCGGGUCCUGCACAAGAGGUUAUCAAGGCUCGAGCGAUGAGGAUUCUCAAGCAAAAGAGGGUGUAUGAAGGUCAACGUGAUAUGCUGUACAAUCAGACAUGCAACCUAGACCAAGUUGCAUCUGCUUCCGAGGAGACCAAAGAUGCUAAAAAAAAUCACUCCAUGGGGCAUAACUCACGGCUUGUCAGGCGAAGCUUGUUCUGUAACCUGAUUGGAACCUGCUGCCUACCCUCAUAGCGGUAGGAGACUAGGAGGACAUCCUAUUUGUUUCAGGUGAGGGAUUUUGUAUUUACUUGACCUGGAGUUUCAUGUAGAGCCAAGAAGUCUCAAUUUAGAUUUGGAGGCUUCAUUGGGCCAUUAGUUUCAUUCUAUUAUCAGAAGCAGACGUGUAGACCUUCAAUCUCGCAAGCAACCUGAUCUGGAAUCUGAACUUAACUUGCCAGCCCAGCUGCACCUAUGGUCAUUGGUCAAGCACCCAGGUUGAAGAUGAACUAGGCUUGCCCACUGCCCCCUCAAGCAUCAAUCCAUGGCUUCUAAGGAAUCUUGUUUCUGGAAGUGCUGAUGUAAAAUGCUGUGCAGACAGUAUAAAUUUUGCUUGCUAUCUUGUUCUUCCAGAUAUAGAUGGUUGUCAAUCUGUUGUAAUAAUGCACAUUAUUGACAGUGUAGAUAAUAUUAUAAAGACUUGCAAA